rnacentral:lncRNA from 1 species
GUGGAUGGGAGCACCUCUAUCCACUUUUCCUAUAAAUAGGAGAGACUUCUUGCCUAAAAUUAAGCCUGUUCCACCCAACCUAGUGAUGUUGCUGUUACAUUCUUCCACUAGGGGUUUGAUGGUGGCUAGCGACCAACUCUCCAUGGAGGAGUUUUCUCUAACCUUUCAAUCGAUAGUAGGUCAUUAUGGGGGUGCACCU